rnacentral:rRNA from 1 species
UACGUAGGGGCCUAGCGUUGUCCGGAUUUAUUGGGCGUAAAGAGCUCGUAGGCGGUUUGUUGCGUCGGCUGUGAAAUCCCGAGGCUCAACCUCGGGUCUGCAGUCGAUACGAGCAAACUAGAGUGUUGCAGGGGAGACUGGAAUUCCUGGUGUAGCGGUGAAAUGCGCAGAUAUCAGGAGGAACACCGGUGGGCGAAGGCGGGUCUCUGGGCAACAACUGA